rnacentral:rRNA from 1 species
GACGAACGCUGGCGGCGCGCCUAACACAUGCAAGUCGAACGGAGCUGAGAGAAGCUUGCUUUUCUUAGCUUAGUGGCGAACGGGUGAGUAACGCGUGAGUAACCUGCCCUGGAGUGGGGGACAACAGUUGGAAACGACUGCUAAUACCGCAUAAGCUCACGAUCCGGCAUCGGAUUGAGGGAAAAGGAUUUAUUCGCUUCAGGAUGGACUCGCGUCCACUUAGCUAGUUGGUGAGGUAACGGCCCACCAAGGCGACGAUUGGUAGCCGGACUGAGAGGUUGAGCGGCCACAUUGGGACUGAGACACGGCCCAGACUCCUACGGGAGGCAGCAGUGGGGGAUAGUGCACAAUGGGGGAAACCCUGAUGCAGCGACGCCGCGUGGAGGAAGAAGGUUUUCGGAUUGUAAACUCCUGUCGUGAGGGACGAUAAUGACGGUACCUAACAAGAAAGCACCGGCUAACUACGUG